CGGCAGGCUUAAUACAUGCAAGUCGAACGGGAGUUCAGGUAGCAAUACUUGAUGAGAGUGGCGCACGGGUGCGUAACACGUAUGCAACCUACCUUUAACUGGUGAAUAGCCCCGGGAAAUCGGGAUUAAUACACCAUAACAUUACAAGAGGGCAUCCUCUAAUAAUUAAAGAACGUUCGGUUAAAGAUGGGCAUGCGGGACAUUAGCUAGUUGGUGAGGUAACGGCUCACCAAGGCAACGAUGUCUAGGGGUCCUGAGAGGGGUUUAUCCCCCCACACUGGUACUGAGACACGGACCAGACUCCUACGGGAGGCAGCAGUAAGGAAUAUUGGUCAAUGGGCGCAAGCCUGAACCAGCCAUGCCGCGUAGAAGGAAGACGGCGCUAUGCGUUGUAAACUUCUUUUGUCAGGGAAUAAAUGUAGGUACGUGUACUUACUUGAAGGUACCUGAAGAAUAAGCAUCGGCUAACUCCGUGCCAGCCGCCGC
rnacentral:rRNA from 1 species